AUGCAAAGGAUGACAAUAUUAUUGAGGAUAUAAGAAGCUCAAAGCUCAAUUAUAAUUGAAGCUUGAGCGAUGCUUUUUCCACAAUACUUCCAUGACUCUGAUGCAU